AUAUACACUUAGGUUUAGGUCUGGUAAUAUUUUACAGCAAACCGGGAUCAAAUUCCAUUACAUAAACAAACUUUAGGCUGAAACUUAAACAAUUUAUUGAUUUAUUGGUGGUUAUGUGAACAAUUGACUCGAGUUGGUUUAUUAUAUAUGUAAACAUGGUUUUAUGUAACAAUUGAAGAUGUAAUCAAAGUUGUCGGACCAACUGAAACCGAGGUUCGGUUUGGUAAGGAGAGGUGUAAUUGUCGUUUUCUAAAUAUGGAUAUAUUAAGUUAUAUGUAUUUGGUUUAGCUUGGUUUUAUGUAACGAUUGAAGAUGUAACCAAAGCAAUCGAUUUUGUAUGGUUUAUAGCUAAAUGACAAAAAGCGCAGUUGCAUUUUUUUGUAAUUAUUGUGGAAAACUCAGGGCUAAAUAUUAUUUAUACUCCUGUUUUAAUAGUUUAUUAGAUAUAAAUUAUAUAUAUGGGCCUAAAAAAGAUAUAAGUCAAAUGAGUUAGACUCUAAUCUUUCAAUUAUCUUAAGGCAAAACUAAAAAGGUAAUAUAAUAGGUAGUCGAUUAAUUGUGGGGUUUACUCACUAAAUAUUCAUUUAAACGUGAUCCUAUUUAUUGGUUGUCGAUUAAUUGUAGUGUUUAUUCACAUAAUAUUCAUCUAAACAAUUGCAAUCUAAAUUUUUUGCUCACAGAAUAUUGCAAAUCUUAAAUCAAUUGCUAUAGGGUGUUAAGGUUUUGGACCUUUUGGUAUAUAUAUAUUGUCAACAGGUUUUGGUAUAUAAUCUUCCAUUUCAAAAUAAACUAGAGAGGACGGGUAUAUUAUUUGUUUUGUAUAUAUUAUUUAAAAUUAAAAUUAUAUAUUUGUUUCUUUCCUUGUAAUAUAUAUGUAUUUUUUGUAAUCAUACUUGUGUUUUUAUCAACAAACGUAUUUGCGUAAUUUAAAAAAUGAUUAGUAAAGUAUUUGUAUAAUUGUAUUGAAUUUAUUAUAUUGUUAAAUUAUACAUUUGUGCCAUAGCCUUUAACACGUUAAUAUGGUACUUUAUUUUCAAACUGUUAUUUUGUUAAAAAAUAACAAAAUAUUGUUACAGUUUUGUUUAGUAAAAAAAUAGUAAUUAAAUAGAUUGAUUAAAUAAAUAAAAUAAAAAUAAAAAUUAAACAUGAUUUAAUUUCGUAUAUAAUUAUAAUUACAUUAUUAUUACACAUAAUAAUUUGUAUACCAAUUAUAAAUGAAUUAUGUAAAUCAAAGUCCAUGGCCCAAUUUUAAUAAUUUUUGUAAAUUAAAUGUUUAUGGCCCAAAUAUAUUGAUGCAAUUAGGUGAGAACUGAUGUGGUGGUUAUUAGGUUAACUGAUGCGGUGGUUAUCGCAUAAAGUUUGUAUUUUUCUUAUAUACAGUUAUCAUAUCAAAAGGUAGGUAUCAUGGAAAAUAUUUGUUGGACUCAACUAACAUCAAUAGGUCACACUUGUGUUUUAAUAGAAUAGAUAUUUAUUCUAUAUUUUAUGGAAUCUGUCUAUAGCAUGGUUAGGAGGCAAUAAUAUAGUUUGUUUAUAACAAUUCAUCUAAGCAAAUUUUAUAGAAGUUGGUCUAAAAAAAAACCACUCACGAAAAAAGUCACGAAUUAUGUUUUAAAUUUUUAAUUGAUAAGAUGCUAUCCUUUCAAGGUUUUACCGAAAUGUUUUACAACUAACUUUUAUAAUACAAGUAAACUUGUUUCCACUAAUUAAUACAACAAAUAUUUACUUUUUUUAAGUGUAUUUGUAGCUUUGAAUACAAGGAUUCAUCCUUUUUAUUCUGGUAUGUAGGCAUUUCGAAGGUGGCUUAAAAGGAAAGGCGGUAAUUGUUUGACCAAAAAACGGUGUAUUUGCUGGUGAUGUUUGUUGGAAUCAUAUAAUAAAGAAUCUAAAGUUAAGUAUUAGAUUCUUGAGGUUUUGGAGAAAUCUUCGUAGAAUCAAUAUGAGAAAAAGAACAUCCAAAGCUCUUUAUUGAUCAAAGAUUGCAUUACAAGAAUGAUUUCUACUGUAAAGUGAAUCAAAAAAUGUAUAAAAUCCUUAUAGGAUGUGUUCUAGAUCUAGAUGAAAAAAAUAGUCAUUUCUAAUAAGGAGAUAACUUCUUAUAGAAGAAAGAUAUCUAGGGUUUCCUAACAAAUUUGACCUAAUUCAUUGUUUUAAUGGACUUUGAGGGAUGAUGUAAAUACGAAAGUCUACAACUCCAUGUGGUUUGCCCAUUUCUACUUCGAUUACGGGCUACUUAUUGAGUGACAGUUUCAAGAACCGGCCCUCAAAUGGUUUUACAAGCCAAGAUGUAGUGGCGUUGUGCCCAGAUAACAAGCAGGCUAUGUACUGCCAUCUUCUUUGCGGUCUUUGCCUGAGUGACGAAGUUGUGAAUGUGUCUGCUACCUUUGCUUCCUCUUUGCUUGGUGCAAUCACUUUUCUUGAAAGUCACUGGAAAGGAAUGUGUAGCAAUAUCGAUCUGGUCAUCUUAGCGAGUGGAUCACCGACCUUGGUUGCAGAGACGCUGUUACUAACAUCCUAAGAGGAUGUAACUCAGAAUUAGCAGAUCGAAUUGAAGAAGAAUGCAACAAAAAAUCUUGGGAAGGUAUAAUCACACGUCUUUGGCCUAAAGUAAAAUUCAUUCAAAGCAUUGUUACAGGACAAAAUUCUCAAUGCAUUCCAAUGUUAGAGUUUUACUCCAACAAAGUGCCUUUGAUCUCCACGGUCUAUGGAUCUUCUGAAACAAUAUUUGGUAUAAAUAUGAAUCCCUUCUGCAAACCACAAGAUAUAUCUUAUUCUUGUAUUCCCACCAUAUCUUACUUUGAGUUCAUACUUGCUGACGAGGGAAACAAAGGUGAAAUUGUUGAUCUUGUGAAUGUCAAGAUUGGGUCCUACUAUGAGCCCGUGAUCACAAAUUAUUACGGCUUGCACAGAUAUAGAAUGGGAGAUAUUCUACAAGUAUCUGGAUUUUACAACAGUGCACCUCAAUUUAGGUUCGUUCGCAGGAAAAGUAUGGUUCUAAGCGUCAACCUCGAAGUGACAACUGAAGAAGCAUUUUAACGGGGUUAAAUAAUGCAACACUUGUUCUUAAGAAUUCAGAUUUAGGAUUGAUGGGAUUCACGUGCUAUGCUGAUAUCUCCACUCUUCCAGGUCACUACAUUUUUUACUGGGAACUCAAAGCCAAAACCAUCAGUGAUAUUGUUGAACUUGAUAACAAAGUAUUGGUGGAAUGUUGUUGUGUAAUGGAGGAAUCAUUAUGUGCUCUUUAUCGAGAGAUGAGGAGUAAAGAUGGGUCUAUAGGAGCUCUAGAGAUUAGGGUUGUGAAACAGGGAACAUUUAAUUCGCUUAUGGAGCUUGCCAUCUCUCAAGGUGCCAUCUCGCUUCCCCAUCUCAGUACAAGACUCCUAUUUGCAUCAACUCUUCUGAAGCCUUAGCUGUUCUUGAAAGCAAUGUCCUAGCUUGCUUUUUCAGUGAUAAGUCCCCAACUAAUCUCUGAUCAGAUAUGGUCUAUGUGGAUUAUGAUAACCCACGAAAACAAUUGGAUCAUAUAGUUAAGAAUAAUGAAGGGACAAAGCUGUUUGAUGAGAUGAGUUUUGUGUUUAUUAAGUGUGUGGUUUGUGUACUGUCUUCCUUUUAAAUCACUAGGGUACCUGUUGUUUCGCGCCAGUUUGUUUGCAGUUCGUAUUCUACGUAUUUGGGUUGGUUGCCAUUUGUAUACUACAUAUUUCGUUUGUUUGAAAUUUGUAUUCUAUGUAUUUGUUUUGAGAGUAUUUAAGAUUGAAGACUUCACAAUUUCUUGUUUGUUUA